rnacentral:snoRNA from 1 species
UCCCAAAGUGUUGAGUGCAGUUCAGGGCAGUUUCCCUGUUCUGUUAAUUAAACUUUGGGACAUUAAAAGUGGCUUGGGAAAAAGAUUGGAUAGAAAACAUCACUCUGUUUGUUUUUCUCCUAGCCUACAAAA